rnacentral:rRNA from 1 species
GACGAACGCUGGCGGCGUGCUUAACACAUGCAAGUCGAACGGUGAACGCGUGCUCUUGCUCCCUCCGGGUCAGUGGAGAACGGGUGUAUCACACGUGAGCCCUCUGCCCCACACUCUGGGAUAAGCGGUGAAAACGACGUCUAAUACCGGAUACGCCGCGGCUGCACAUCCUCUCCGCGAGGGUAGAACGGCGGUUGGGGAUGCGCUCGCGGCCUAUCAGCUUGUUGGUGAGGUAACGGCUCACCAAGGCGACGACGGGUAGCCGGCCUGAGAGGGUGACCGGCCACACUGGGACUGAGACACGGCCCAGACUCCUACGGGAGGCAGCAGUGGGGAAUAUUGCACAAUGGGCGGAAGCCUGAUGCAGCAACGCCGCGUGAGGGACGACGGCCUUCGGGUUGUAAACCUCUUUUAGCAGGGAAGAAGCGAAAGUGACGGUACCGGCAGAAAAAGCACCGGCUAACUACGUG